UCCCGUUUGUGUGUGCAUUGUUAUUUAAAUUAGGUUAGAAGGCUAAUCAGUAAAGCUUAUAUUUUGCUCGUAAAUCUGCAAUGUGAGUCAUUCCUCUUUUAUAAACUCUUUUCUCACAGUUUGUGAGUCAGUCUCUUUUUAUCAACUGUUUUACAAAACUCCAAGUUAUUUUCAAAGUUAUAAUUACAGGGAUUAAGUCUUUGUAAUCACCAUAUUACAGCCGGUAUGUGGGGUUUUGUAUACAUUACUUGUUUCCCGUCACACUUGGACAAACGGGUGGCCAAGGGGUGAUCUGACCACAGUCACAGACACCAUUGGACAAAUGGGCUAGCCAAUGGAUGGUCGAGUGACAAAUACUGUGACAACUCGAAUUUCUAAGAUUUUAUUUCGUAUUUAUUGCACGUUCAUGUAAUUGCACAAUUGAUUUCCAUGAAAUUAUAUAUGUUCUGAUUGUUUGAUUGUGUAUAGUUGAUGGUUAUUUGUGAAACUUGUCAAAUGUGUAAAUUUGGUGGUGGAACUAUGAAACAGUAAACUUGUCAAAUAUGAGAUGGUGUGCACUUGUAAAUUAUAAUACUUAGGGAUGUAGAUGGUAAUUAGUGAAAUCCUAAAUACUUAACCCUAAUCUCAUUUCUCUAAUCAUUUGCACACAAAACUAAAUCACGUACUUGCAACUCUCUAAUCCCUUAGCAAUCAUCAUCACCCUCAUCAUUGACAAGAUAAUCAUCACACUUGAUUCCUAUUUCUCUAGAAUCAUUCAAGGUAAUUGUGUUAUCAUUUGUUAUUAAUCGUUUGAUUGUUAGCAAUGCUUAAUUCUUGUAAUGCGUUCAGAUAAUCAAUUGAUUGAUGAUUGUGAUGUGUGAGAUGUAGACAUAGAGGUCAUUGCUUUGAUCUGUAUAUUGAAAACGUAUGAAUUAGGGUUUUCAUGUUCGUAUGAUACCAAUACGUAACCGUUCUGAUCCUGUUGAUUCUGUGCAAAUUGAUGAUAUUGUUGUCUGAGUUUGUAAAUAAUGAAUGCACUAUGGUCCGAAUAUAAUAUCCUCCUAAGGUCCGAGUUUAAUGGACUUGUUUUGGUCCGAGUUUAAUUGGACCAUCAUGGUCCGAGUUUAAAUAAAAUGAAGAUGUCCGAGUUUAAUUGAAUUAACUUUGGUCCGAGUUACAUAAAUUGACCUUGUCCGAGUAUGAUGCUUUUAAUUGGUCCGACUUUAAAUGGUUUAUAGUGGCCCGAGUUUAAAUAAAAUGAAGUGGUCCGAGUAUAAUUGGACCAUUUGGUCCGAGUUUAAUCAAAUUAACCUAAUGGUCCGAGUUUAUUUAGUUUGAAUGGACCGAGUUUAAUAACUGAUUUAUAAUGGUCCGAACAUAAUUGAUGUAUAGUGGCCCGAACUUAAUUGAUUUGUAAUUGGUCCGAGUUUAUUGUUGGUGUUUGGACCGAGUUUAAUAGUAUAUCACAUGGUCCGAGUUUGUUCAACAAAUGAUGGGCCGAGUUUAAUAUGAUGACAUUGGGCCCGAGUUUAAAGAAUGUAUCAAGGGUCCAAGCUUGAGUGUGUAACAUGACAGUCUGAGUUUAUUGUAUGAUUACAUGUGCUAUCCGAAUCUUUAACAGGGGAGACCCCCCCCCCCCCUAUACUUGUCUGGGUUUUGAGAGAUGCAUGAUCCUGUAAAUGUCCAUAUGAAUUACGUGAAUUGUAUGAAUGGAUUACUAUUACGUGAUACAUGAUUGAUACAUGAUAUUGGCUAUCAAACACUAUGUGACACUUGAUUACAGGCGUGUCAUUACGAACAUGAACUGAUUUGUUAUACGUGCAAACAAUAGGACUUGAUUAAUUACUUGUGAGUGCAUAACCUAGCAUACCGAGCAAACCAAGGUGAGUUCACACUCUUACCAAGGCAUGGGAUUCCCGGGGUGUUGGGAAUGGGAUUGAAAGGUUGAUUAGAUACACUAUUGACACUAUGACUAGACUACCACAUUACUAUCCUCGGAUGUGAAGGAUACUUAUGCUGAUCACUAUCCUCGGAUGUGAAGGAUACUUAUACUGAUCACUAUCCUCGGUUGUGAAGGAUACCUAUAGUUACGAGUAGUCUAGUGGUUAUACAACGUGGAACACCACCACCAAUAACGUGGAACACCACCACCAAUAACGUGGAACACCACCACCAAUAACGUGGAACACCACCACCAAUAACGUGGAACACCACCACCAAUAACGUGGAACACCACCACCAAUAACGUGGAACACCACCACCAAUAACGUGGAACACCACCACCAAUAACGUGGAACACCACCACCAAUAGAACAUACAAACGGCCCAGUAGAGCCACCUGUUACAAACGAACUUACUAUUACGCAUUUACUUUCUGUGAACUCGCUCAACUAGUUUGUUGAUCAUUCUGUUACAUGCCUUGCAGAUCGUUAGGUACUUGGAGCUUGCACUGGAGAAGCGGGUCGUUGUGGACAAGGAUCGUGGCUUUUCUGUUGAGCUAUUAUGACACUUAAAACUGUUAACUACUACUGGUUUAUUUACUAUGCUUCCGCUACAUUUUUGAAACGAUGAUUUGUUUGAUCACCUUUUGUAUUGAAUGGAUGGUUUUCAGUUAUUUUACU
rnacentral:lncRNA from 1 species